GUAUUGUAAUCCUAGUUUAUCGCUUCUGAUUGCUGCACAGUAUUCCAUAUUGGACAGCAAUACAUGUGACUUCCAUUCCCCAAAUGGAUACCAAGGCUACCCCUACCUCUCAGCGAUAAUCAUCCUCGUCCAUGGUCUCUUGUGGACCUAUGUGUAAUUCCUCGGCAACAUAUGCCUAAAAAUGAGGAGAUCCAAUCACACGCUGGGACUAACAGGUGGUGAUACCAUCGUGAUCCAGAGAGACUCCAUAACAUUCCUGAAGGUACAUAACAGAGAAAGACCUAGAGGGCCCUGGCCACCCAUAUCUUGUAUUGGUAUCAGUUGUAGUGCUAUGUCUUCUCAUUUCCCAAGAAUCUUCUGAAGGAUUAUUUUACAAGCAGAUGGCCUGCCAAGGUGACAGAAAUUAAAUCCAGAAAGCACUUCUUUAAAGCACCUGCUGCAUUGUAAGUACAAGGCUGGCCAGAGGAACCACAGAGCCAACUAAGACAGAGUCACUGCCCUUUGCAUUCACAAUCUGGCUUUGGGGGAAAGAGAGAAAAGACCGUCUACAAGUAAUCCCAACACAAUAUGAUGGCAUAAUUUAGAACAUGCCAUGCCAACAGCGAGCACUAUGGGUGCUGGGUCAGUCUAGACACUGAUACCUGAGAGCAUUAUUUAAAAUAUGAGGACAAAAAGACCUUAACAAAGGAAAUCAGGGAACCACAGGAGGUGGAAAGGAACAUGACACAUUCAACUCACAGGAAAGAGAUGCAGGUGACAUCAACUUGGAUGGAUUAAUGGAUGAGAGGAUGGGUGGUUUGACAAAUUAAUGUAUGCUGAUGAAAGAAAGUGCUUCAUUUCCAAUUUUCCAGAUUCCUGAAGACCCUGUUCCCCUUUGUUGUUGUAAUAAAAAGGAACACUAGGUGGCAUCACACUACCAAAAGUUCUCACCUUUUAAAGCCUCCAGGAGACGCUCAUCCACCAAGAUUGGGUCAGCCCCUAAUUUAGACAAGUAAGAGUGCUUCUAUCAAUUUCAUUUCUCAUUACAUCCACUUCAUUUAUUUACUGAGCCUCUACUAUGUGCCCAGCCUUGUGCUGCCUACUGUGGAGAAUAUAAAAGGAGUUGAAUCGAGGAUCUCCUCCCAAGGGAGCAUAAGGAGAAGCAAAACACGCAUGGCACCCCCUCCCCCACACAAAAAAAUUGUAAAACACUCCAAGGCAGGAUGUGGUAAGCACUGAAAUGAGGAUGUCGGAAUAUAAUAUCCAGUGUCAUCUGACCCCUUUGACCUUCUGGUGCCUUCUCCCACCGCUCACUUCUUGCCCCAAUGGCUUCUUUCAGUUCCCUGUAUGUCAUGUUCUUUCCCACCGCUUGGAGUUCACAGAGGUUGAUCUUUCUGUCUGGAAUACUCAACCAUCCCUCUUCACCUGGCUAACUCCCGUCCACCCCUCCUGCAGAUUUCACUUCCUUGGGGAGAGAUUUCCUGACCAUCCUUCAACACCAGAUUACCUUUGCAAGUACCAUGUAUUCGACUUCUUGGACCCUCUCACAAUGGUAGUUAAUCAUGUGUUCAUGGAAAUGGUUGCUUAAGAUCUGUCUUCUCUACAAGCUAUCAAACAAGAAGGCAAGCCUGCUGCAGACCAAACUUAACAGAACAUUUGUUGAGCGUUUGACAUCGGUUCCCGAAGGAUCUCCAUACAAACUCCACUCUUGAUACUGGAGGAGGCUACAAAGCUGGGGCACAUUUAUCAGGAAAAUUGAAAGAUUGGCCAUGAAGCGGAAGCAGUGGGCCAUCUGCCAUUGCAGGCGAUGAUUUUUACCAGAAGGGGAUGACAGUGUCACAACCACGCAGUUAUCCAACCUGCCUUGCAUUUCAUUGGCUUAACAGCAACUGCGCUUUUCCCAGUCGGAUUACUUUUGGGUAUGAGUGGUUCAUUCAGUUGGUGCUCUUGCUGGAGAGGCCAGGCCAAGACUGCAGUUUGGUGUUCCUCCUAGAACCAGGGAGGACUUACACAAAGUCACCAGCUAACCGGAUUAUUCAAAAAGACUGAGUAGCUCCACACAACCUGUUCCCACUACAAAUGAAUAAAUAAAUGAAAUAAAUUAAUGAGUGAAUAAGUAAAUAAAUAAUUCCUUUAAAACAUCAAAGCACAAAUCCCUUGUCUUAUU